rnacentral:rRNA from 1 species
AUUGAACGCUGGCGGCAGGCUUAACACAUGCAAGUCGAGCGGGGUGAUGGUGCUUGCACUAUCACUUAGCGGCGGACGGGUGAGUAAUGCUUAGGAAUCUGCCUAUUAGUGGGGGACAACAUCUCGAAAGGGAUGCUAAUACCUCAUACGUCCUACGGGAGAAAGCAGGGGAUCACUUGUGACCUUGCGCUAAUAGAUGAGCCUAAGUCGGAUUAGCUAGUUGGUGGGGUAAAGGCCUACCAAGGCGACGAUCUGUAGCGGGUCUGAGAGGAUGAUCCGCCACACUGGGACUGAGACACGGCCCAGACUCCUACGGGAGGCAGCAGUGGGGAAUAUUGGACAAUGGGGGGAACCCUGAUCCAGCCAUGCCGCGUGUGUGAAGAAGGCCUUAUGGUUGUAAAGCACUUUAAGCGAGGAGGAGGCUCUUUUGGUUAAUACCCAAGAUGAGUGGACGUUACUCGCAGAAUAAGCACCGGCUAACUCUGUGCCAGCCGCCGCCGCGG